UACGGAAGGCAGCAGUGGGGAAUAUUGGACAAUGGGCGGAAGCCUGAUCCAGCCAUGCCGCGUGUGUGAAGAAGGCCUUUUGGUUGUAAAGCACUUUAAGCGAGGAGGAGGCUCUCCUAGUUAAUACCUAGGAAGAGUGGACGUUACUCGCAGAAUAAGCACCGGCUAACUCUGUGCCAGCAGCCGCGGUAAUACAGAGGGUGCGAGCGUUAAUCGGAUUUACUGGGCGUAAAGCGUGCGUAGGCGGCUGAUUAAGUCGGAUGUGAAAUCCCCUGAGCUUAACUUAGGAAUUGCAUUCGAUACUGGUCAGCUAGAGUAUGGGAGAGGAUGGUAGAAUUCCAGGUGUAGCGGUGAAAUGCGUAGAGAUCUGGAGGAAUACCGGAUGGCGAAGGGCAGCCAUCUGGGCCUAAUACUGACGCUGAGUCGAAAGCAUGGGGAGG
rnacentral:rRNA from 1 species